rnacentral:rRNA from 1 species
AGUGAACGCUGGCGGUAGGCCUAACACAUGCAAGUCGAACGGCAGCACAGUAAGAGCUUGCUCUUACGGGUGUCGAGUGGCGGACGGGUGAGGAAUACAUCGGAAUCUACUUUUUCGGGGGGGAUAACGUAGGGAAACUUACGCUAAUACCGCAUACGACCUACGGGUGAAAGCAGGGGAUCUUCGGACCUUGCGCGAUUGAAUGAGCCGAUGUCGGAUUAGCUAGUUGGCGGGGUAAAGGCCCACCAAGGCGACGAUCCGUAGCUGGUCUGAGAGGAGGAUCAGCCACACUGGAACUGAGACACGGUCAAGACUCCUACGGGAGGCAGCAGUGGGGAAUAUUGGACAAUGGGCGCAAGCCGGAUCCAGCAAUACCGCGUGGGGGAGGAAGGCUUUCGGGUGGUAAAGCCCUUUUGUUGGGAAAGAAAAGCAGCAGGUUAAUAACCCGCUGUUCUGACGGUACCUAAAGAAUAAGCGCCGGCUAACUUCGUG